GGUGCUUGCAUCAUGAUUUACAUUUGAGUGAGUGGCGAACUGGUGAGUAACACGUGGGAAACCUGCCCAGAAGCGGGGGAUAACACCUGGAAACAGAUGCUAAUACCGCAUAACAACUUGGACCGCAUGGUCCGAGUUUGAAAGAUGGCUUCGGCUAUCACUUUUGGAUGGUCCCGCGGCGUAUUAGCUAGAUGGUGGGGUAACGGCUCACCAUGGCAAUGAUACGUAGCCGACCUGAGAGGGUAAUCGGCCACAUUGGGACUGAGACACGGCCCAAACUCCUACGGGAGGCAGCAGUAGGGAAUCUUCCACAAUGGACGAAAGUCUGAUGGAGCAACGCCGCGUGAGUGAAGAAGGGUUUCGGCUCGUAAAACUCUGUUGUUAAAGAAGAACAUAUCUGAGAGUAACUGUUCAGGUAUUGACGGUAUUUAACCAGAAAGCCACGGCUAACUACGUGCCAGCAGCCGCGGUAAUACGUAGGUGGCAAGCGUUGUCCGGAUUUAUUGGGCGUAAAGCGAGCGCAGGCGGUUUUUUAAGUCUGAUGUGAAAGCCUUCGGCUCAACCGAAGAAGUGCAUCGGAAACUGGGAAACUUGAGUGCAGAAGAGGACAGUGGAACUCCAUGUGUAGCGGUGAAAUGCGUAGAUAUAUGGAAGAACACCAGUGGCGAAGGCGGCUGUCUGGUCUGUAACUGACGCUGAGGCUCGAAAGUAUGGGUAGCAAACAGGAUUAGAUACCCUGGUAGUCCAUACCGUAAACGAUGAAUGCUAAGUGUUGGAGGGUUUCCGCCCUUCAGUGCUGCAGCUAACGCAUUAAGCAUUCCGCCUGGGGAGUACGGCCGCAAGGCUGAAACUCAAAGGAAUUGACGGGGGCCCGCACAAGCGGUGGAGCAUGUGGUUUAAUUCGAAGCUACCCGAAGAACCUUACCAGGUCUUGACAUACUAUGCAAAUCUAAGAAAUUAGACGUUCCCUUCGGGGACUUGGAUACAGGUGGUGCAUG
rnacentral:rRNA from 1 species